AGUAUCGAUACUUGCCGAAUGAUACGAAGUGGACUGGUUUUAACCGGUAUCUGUCAAAACGAAAGUUAAAUGUAAUCGAUAGGCAAAUAAUUUAUCAAAAAACUAGGAAAAUCGCAUCUUUUUGAAGGUUGCAACUUUCCUAUUAAUUGAAUUAGUCUCUGCCCUGAGAUAUGAAACUUCUGGAGAAAAGAAAUGAGGGCGCCAACAUCAGAGAUAUACACAAUGCUUUUUUCCAUGAGUAUCUUGAUAAGUCUCCAGAUGAUGGAGGGGAGAACUCCUAAAUGUGACCCUGAGGACAACAUGUACUAUCAUUCCCAGGCCCUCGCCUGUUUUCAGUGUGAGGUAUGCCUAAAAGGGGAUGAAGUCAUACCUAUGGAGCAAUGGAAUUUGAGAAACUGGAAUCCCCAAACUGGACCCACCGAAUGCAGACCUUGUCAGAAAUGUAGACCUGGCACUUUCAGUAAAGGUCGAUCCUAUGAAUGUACAGUUUGUAGGAACUGUACACUCCAUGGUCAAUACGAGACUGCCCCAUGUACACACCUGAAGGAUACAGUGUGUGAUGGAGUCUUGCCCCUUGCAGAAAAUAU